rnacentral:misc_RNA from 1 species
UUGUAAUUGGACAAACCCUUAGUAUAAGCAUCAGAAGGUUGUUCCUUGGUAUGAACAUAAUCCACUUUGAUCAAACCUUGUUGUAACUUCUCUCUUAUAAAGUGACAAUCAAUUUCAAUAUGGUUUGUUCUUUCAUGAUAGACUGGAUUUGCUGCUAUUUGAAUAGCAAUCUUGCUGUCACUAUAUAUUUUUGCUGGAAACUGAACAUUGAUACCUAUUUCUUUCAUCAAGCCAUAACCAUAUUAG